GGGGUGUCGACGUCGGUUCCUCCUCCUGACUGCAGUGGAUCAGGAGGAUUUUACGAGGUCGUAGAGUAACGAGUCUGUUUCACCCAGAGAGCUUCAGGCCACGGCUUCGCUCACGGCUUCCUGGUUUUGCGAGACUCUAUAAAAUAAAGCAGCGUGUUGAUGAUGAAUGUUCUGCUCCUGAAUUGUUUUCACCUCCUUCUGAUGCUCGUCCUUCUGGUCCCGUAGCGGACGUGAUGCUCGUGCAGCCGCGGGUGGAGUUCAUCCUCUCAUUCAUCCACCACAUAGCCGAGGACGAAGACCACUCUGACGGAGUGGUAGCAAACGCCGCCGGGCUCAUCGGGUGAGGUUUGAUUAGUGCUUCCCAGUAACCACGGCAACCCCAACACGCUGUGUUUGUAAUCUGUUUUGGCACUGAGCAGCUGUUGGCGUAACCGGGGCCCUGCUUUGGGUUCACCUGUUGCCGUGGAGACCGUGACAAACAGCCGAUGGAUGUUGGGUCGAUGAGAAGAAAUGAUGCACCACUCAACAUCUGAGACCGAACCAGAAGAAAGUUCUGGUUCUGCUGAUUGACGUCUGUCCUUUCUCCUGUGCGUGUGCUUGCUCAGCGACCUGUGCGCCGCCUUCGGUAAAGACGUGAUGAAGCUGGUGGAGGUCCGUCCGCUCAUCAACGACCUGCUGACGGAGGGACGGCGCUCCAAGACCACAAAGACCAAGACGCUGGCCACCUGGGCCACCAAGGAGCUCCGUAAGCUCAAGAGUCAGGCCUGAUGGUUGCGGUCGGUUUGAGGCACCCUGAGGUGGACGAGGACAAACUGCCCCCUGCUGGAUUUAAGUCGUCUGUCUUUGAUCCGGUCAAAGCAGAAGUGACGUGAGACGAGUGUGAGAGCGAGAGACAAUGACAUCACACCACCGCCCCGGCCCCUCCCCCCGCUCACUCACACACACACACACACACACACGCGCACACACACACACCCCUCUUGUGAGGGGGUUAGUUCAAACCACGACGAGAACGAUAAACUGAGCCGACGUCUGGAAAACUUUAGAUUUGUGUUGCUCUUAUCUUUCUUCUUCCUGCAAGCACUGAGGUGACGGAGAAGCCUCCACCCGUUCUGCUCGCCGCUCUUAUCCGAAAAAACGCACUAAAAGUCCUACAAAGUAAAAGAGUGCCAAAUGGAGAACUCGAGGAGUGGAAAUGAGCUGCUAGUUUUCAUUUCCCUGCUGCACUUGUUUUGGGGGAAAAGGGUCACCACCAUUUUUGCUUGUUUGAAAAGAAGAAAAAAUUGAAGUUUGUAAAAGGUUAUAUUUUUCCAUUGCUACGGUGAAAUAAAGUGAAGAGAAAAAGACUUUAAAAUUAUCUAAAACAUUCCCAAAGCAGUUCUGGUGAUUUGGGUGUUUACGCCACAAACAACCAUGUUGUUGUUUAACUCACCUGGUGGUUUGUUUGGUAGCAGCGGCCUCGUCUCAGCGCUUCACCUUCCGUCUGGGGACCAUGAACGCAACACUUCCUGGUUCUCAGAACCAAGUUCUCAUCCAGUUGAAAGUGAAGACCAGCAGAGCUUUUUCUUGUGGAGCUGCUUCCGCGCCGUGAGGAGGAGGAGGGACUUCCUGUGUUGACAUGAUGGACAUGGACACUUGAUUACUGAAUUGUGAAUCAUUUAAAGUCAAUCUGCUUUUUAUUUCAACUUUAGUGAUCUAAUAAAGUCUAUAUUGUACUGAA
ensembl:lncRNA